UUGUUCUUUUCAAUCUAAACGGAUAACUGCGGUAAUUCUGGAGCCAAUACGUGACUAAAAGCAGUGGCCUUCGGGUCGCUGUGCUAUUAUUGGAGCAAAACUAUUCGUUAGUCCUUUUGCUAACUCUGGAUAAUACUGCGUAUCGCAUGACCUCGUGUCGGCGAAGUUUCAUUCGAGUAUCUGCCCUAUCAACUUGCUGGCAGUGUAUUGGACUGCCAUGGUUCUAACGGGUAACGGAGGAUCAGGGUCUGACUCCGGAGAGGGAGCCUUAGAAACGGCUACCAUGUCUAAGGAUAGCAGCAGGCGCGAAAAUUACCCAAUAUCAAUACGAUGAGGUAGUGACGAGAAAUAACGAGUCCGUUCUCUCUGAGGUCGGACAUUGGAAUGGGUACAAUCUAGACAAUUUAACGAGUAUCUACGAGAGGGCAAGUCUGGUGCCAGCAGCCGCGGUAAUUCCAGCUCUCGUAAUACAUAGAAUUAUUGUUGCGGUUAAAAAGUUCGUAGUUGAUCAGCGAACCGUUCGGGGUGCAUCCUAACGGGUGUCACUCGUCGGACGGUAUUUUGCGCGUUUGUGUGCGGUCGCCCUCGNGGUGGCUCGUAUGCUGCGUGCAGGAUUACUUUGAACGGCUUAAGUGCUCAAGGCGGGUCUUAGGACCGAAUACCGGUGCAUGGAAUAAUGGAACAAGGUUGCGGCCGAGUUUUAUUGGUUUUGUCGGCUGAAACAAUGGUUAACAGGAACAGCCGGGGGCAUUCGUAUCGCUGCGCGAGAGGUGAAAUUCGGGGACCGUAGCGAGACGCACUAAGCGAAGGCAUUUGCCAAGAGUGUUUUCAUUAAUCAAGAACGAAAGUGAGAGGUUCGAAGGCGAUUAGAUACCGCCCUAGUUCUCACCGUAAAUGAUGCCAACUGCCAAUCCGCUGGUGGAUUUAAUUCACGAGCGGGCGGGUUUCCGGAAACGAAAGUCUUUCGGUUCCGGGGAAGUAUGGUUGCAAAGCUGAAACUUAAAGGAAUUGACGGAAGGGCACCACCAGGAGUGGAGCUUGCGGCUUAAUUUGACUCAACACGGGAAACCUCACCCGGCCAGCACAUCGUAAGGAUUGACAGACCGAUAGCUCUUUCAUGAUUCGUUGGAUGGUGGUGCAUGGCCGUUCUUAGUUCGUGCUAAUUGAAGUGUCUGCUUUAUUGCGAUAACGAGCGAGACGCCAACUGUUAACUAGUGCGUUGAUUGGUUCGCUUGUCAACGAUCGACUUCUUAACGGGAUUUGUGGUUACUAGCCUCAAGAAAUGGCGCAAUAACAGGUCUGUGAUGCCCUUAGAUGUUCGGGGCCGCACGCGUGCUACAAUGGUGGUAUCAGCGUGCUUGUCCUACUCCGAAAGGAGAUGGCAAACAGUUGAGAUAUUAUUAUGGCUGGAAUUGAGUGUUGAAAUUUUCACUCAUGAACGAGGAAUUCCAAGUAAAUGCGAGUCAUCAACUCGCAUUGAUUACGUCCCUGCCCUUUGUACACACCGCCCGUCGCUCCCCGGGACUGAGUUGUUUCGAGAAAGCCACGGACCGGUGUCGCUCGU
rnacentral:rRNA from 1 species